UGGGGAAUUUUGGACAAUGGGCGAAAGCCUGAUCCAGCAAUGCCGCGUGUGUGAAGAAGGCCUUCGGGUUGUAAAGCACUUUUGUCCGGAAAGAAAUCCUUGGCUCUAAUACAGUCGGGGGAUGACGGUACCGGAAGAAUAAGCACCGGCUAACUACGUGCCAGCAGCCGCGGUAAUACGUAGGGUGCAAGCGUUAAUCGGAAUUACUGGGCGUAAAGCGUGCGCAGGCGGUUUGCUAAGACCGAUGUGAAAUCCCCGGGCUCAACCUGGGAACUGCAUUGGUGACCGGCAGGCUAGAGUAUGGCAGAGGGGGGUAGAAUUCCACGUGUAGCAGUGAAAUGCGUAGAGAUGUGGAGGAAUACCGAUGGCGAAGGCAGCCCCCUGGGCCAAUACUGACGCUCAAUGCACGAAAGCGUGGGGAGCAAACAGGAUUAGAUACCCUGGUAGUCCACGCCCUAAACGAUGUCAACUAGUUGUUGGGGAUUCAUUUCCUUAGUAACGUAGCUAACGCGUGAAGUUGACCGCCUGGGGAGUACGGUCGCAAAGAUUAAAAACUCAAAUGAAUUGACGGGGUCAUAGCUGUUUCCUG
rnacentral:rRNA from 1 species